rnacentral:lncRNA from 1 species
UUAUCAUUGCAUUGACUUUCCAUAGUGUUAAUUUCCAUCAGAGCGUUGACUUUCCAUAAUGUUUACUUUUUAUAAGAACGUUGACUUUCCAUCAAAGUCAAAUGAUGAUAUGCUUUACACGGUUAUCAGAGGCCAAUGAUCAAAUGCUUGUCACAUUUAUCUGAGGCAGACUUAGCAGAUGUUUGUCACACUUAUCAGAGGCAGGCUUAUCAGAUGCUUGUCACACUUAUCAAAGGCAUACUUAGGGCUUUCUUCUUUGGAUAUUUGAAUUAAAGGCUCCAGAUGGUUUUCAAUCAGAGGCAGAUAAUCAUUGUAGUGCUCAUUACAUUUGUCUUCAGAGGAACAAACAUUAACUCGUAUUCCUUUUGUCUUUUACUGCUUUGACUUGAACAGUAGCUCAUCAGAUGCAUAUUGUUAUGAG